rnacentral:miRNA from 3 species
GGGCAUCUUUCUAUUGGCAGG